GCACCCAUAGCUCAACUGGAUAGAGCAUUUCGCUUCGGACGAAAAGGCUGGGAGUUCAAAUCUCUCUGGGUGCA
rnacentral:tRNA from 1 species